AUUGAACGCUGGCGGCAUGCUUUACACAUGCAAGUCGAACGGUAACAGGCCGCAAGGUGCUGACGAGUGGCGAACGGGUGAGUAAUGCAUCGGAACGUGCCCAGUCGUGGGGGAUAACGCAGCGAAAGCUGCGCUAAUACCGCAUACGAUCUAUGGAUGAAAGCGGGGGACCGUAAGGACUCGCGCGAUUGCAGCGGCCGAUGUCAGAUUAGGUAGUUGGUGAGGUAGAGGCUCACCAAGCCAACGAUCUGUAGCUGGUCUGAGAGGACGACCAGCCACACUGGGACUGGGACACGGCCCAGACUCCUACGGGAGGCAGCAGUGGGGAAUUUUGGACAAUGGGCGCAAGCCUGAUCCAGCAAUGCCGCGUGCAGGAAGAAGGCCUUCGGGUUGUAAACUGCUUUUGUACGGAACGAAACGGUCCGGGUUAAUACCCUGGGCUAAUGACGGUACCGUAAGAAUAAGCACCGGCUAACUACGUGCCAGCAGCCGCCGUAA
rnacentral:rRNA from 1 species